GCUCGCAGCUUGAGGAAGAAAAGAUUCACCAGAAUGUCAGCCUGGUUUUGCACAGCCUCUGCUGGCGUAACGGCUCAGACAUCCACCCCUGAAGAGAAGUGACAAGUUCAGCUGAGGGAACUCCAGCCGGAGUUCACCAUAAUGGAGCCCUCAGACCUCCUGCGGAUGCCUGAAACCGUGGAUAGCCCCCAGCCCUUCGUGCCGUGUUUUUCCCUAUGCAUAUAUACCCACGAAGAGGUUAACAGCAAUAACUAACCAUGAAAUAGAACAAUUCCAACAAUACACUGUAAUAAAAGGUGACUAUGGUGUCUCAAGCCA